rnacentral:rRNA from 1 species
UACGUAGGGGGCGAGCGUUGUCCGGAUUUAUUGGGCGUAAAGAGCGUGUAGGCGGCUUGGUAGGUCUGCUGUGAAAACUCGGGGCUCAACCCCGAGACGUCGGUGGAAACCACCUGGCUAGAGUCCGGAAGAGGAGAGUGGAAUUCCUGGUGUAGCGGUGAAAUGCGUAGAGAUCAGGAAGAACACCAGUGGCGAAGGCGCUCUGCUAGGCCGUAACUGACACUGAGGGACGAAAGCUAGGGGAGCGAAUGGG